UCUCUCGCUCUCUCUCCCGCUCGCUCUCUCUCUCUCUCUCUUCCUCUCUCUCUCUCCCCCCUCCCUCUCUCUCUCUCUCUUUCUCUCUAUACCUCUCUCUCUCUUUCUCUCUCUCUCUCUCCCGCUCACUCUCUCUCUCUCUCUUCCUCUCCCUCUCUCCUCCUCUCUCUAUACCUCUCUCUCUCUUUCUCUCUAUACCUCUCUCUCUUUCUCUCUCUUUUCCCCUCUCUCUCUUUCUCUAUACCUCUCUCUCUCUCUUUCUCUCUCUACCUCUCUUUCUCUCUCUCUUCCUCUCUCUCUUUCUCUCUAUACCUCUCUCUAUCUCUCUUUCUCUCUCUCUCUCUCUUCCUCUCUCUCUUUCUCUCUAUACCUCUCUCUCUCUCUUUCGCUCUAUACCUCUCUCUCUCUCUUUCUGUCUCUCUCUCUCUUCCUCUCUCUCUCUUUCUCACACACACACACACAUUAAUAAGUACUGUUGAACAUCAUGAAAUAGUAUUUGAGUUUUAGUCCUGACACUUGUCUAAAUCCUGGACAUUUUUGUGAAGGAGAAAAAUAAGCUGAUGAAGUAUGUUUGAAUUAUUAUUAUUAUUAUUAUUAUUAUUAUUAUUAUUAUUAUUAUUAUUAUGAUGAUGAUGAUGAUAAUGAUGAUGAUCUAAGCUUAUUUCAGAACGCCCCCCACUCUCUCCUUCACAACCAUCUGAUUAUUUCAACUUUAAUUAAACAAAAUGUAUGCUUUGUGUCUCCCUUUCUGCUCUUUUCACUGCUUUCUUUGUGAGGUGUAAAUGUUUAGAGAUUUGCUUUGCCCUCCUCUACUCUUCUUCUUGCUAAGAAAUGCAAACAGGGAAAGAAGAAAGAAGUCUAACGUUGCUACUCAGCACUGUUUGGAUUGCAUUAUCAGAUUGAAUAUUAGGAAUAAGUCUACACUAAGUCAAUAAUAUGGUUUAAUAAGCAUCAUACAUUUAGCAUACUUUAAAGAAUUAGAAUAGCCGAACUGUAAAAUAAUUUCUACACAAUUGUCUUCUUACAGUUCAUCAAAAGUAUUGAAAAAUCUGAUCAACAAAGACAUGUUUUGUUUCUACUGGAACUACAAGAAAUAUGGGAGUUAAAUCAUCACACACUUGUCUCAAAAAUAAAUAAAUAAAAACACUUUCAUACAUUUACAGAAUAAGUCAUCAUGUAAAUUAUUUCGUAUAUACUGAUACUGAUAUUACACAUCACUGACUAAAUCAAUUCUAAUAAUUCUGCCUUUAAACUUUAAACUUGAACCUGAGUCUGAUGCAAAUUGAUGGUGGCUUGAUGCAAAACUGUAUGCUGAGGGGGCUAGCACGUUCACCUCAUACCUCCAGGGUCCGGGGUUCCAGUCCCGCCGGGGCCAUGUGUGUGUGCGGAGUUUGCAUUUUCUCCCUGUGCUGCAGGGAUUUCCUCCGGGUACUGCGGUUUCCUCCACCAGUCCAAAGACAUGCAUGAUAGGCUGACUGGCAUGUCUAAAGUGUCCGUAGUGUAUGAAUGAGUGUGUAUGUGAUUGUGCCCUGCAAUGGACUGGCACCCUGUCCAGGUUGUACCCCGCCUCAUGCCCGAUGCUACCUGGGAUUGGCUUCAGGUUCCCCCGUGACCCUGAAAAGGAGUAAGCGGUAGAAGAUGGAUGGAUGCUGAGGAAGAAAAUGAUUCUGGCUUCAACAACAGCAUGUGAAUCCACCUACGAGUAUGUUUUUGGGAGAUGGGGGAGGGGAAACCUGGAGGAUGCCAACACAGACAGCAAAGAGUUCUGGUGUUAGAUAAAUAGGAACCAGCAAGAGAAAGGCGUCUCUUGCAUCGGCCAUGCUGAGCCACACUUGAACACGUUUGUUUGUCGCCAGGGGAAAUGGAACGUGCGCAGAAUUGUAACGUCUCAUCUGCAGAACUGCAAAAAGUAGGGAGAUGAGGAGCAAGCAUGCCACAAAGAAGAACAUGCAGCCUUUGUGCAACUACAAAAGCGGUUUUGUAAGUUGAAGGGCUUGCUGGGGGAGGAAACGCAGCUGGCGGGGGUUGAGUCUUCGCCAGAAAGCCUCAAGAACUCAAAGCAAAGUGCAGAAAAGAUUGUGCUGUGUGCGGCCGACCUCAUGGGUCAUUUCUACCCACAGACAAGACUAGAUAUAUUUAAUCAAUCAUUAACACUGUCUUAAAACAAGAUUUAAUGAGCAUGUGUAAUUUGAGUGUAACAGCUGAUUAAACUCUAAUUAUACAUACAUUAAUUUGUUGAAUCUAAGUCAAGUCUGAUAAGGGAACUGUUCAGAUACAGUACAA